rnacentral:rRNA from 1 species
UACGUAGGGUGCGAGCGUUAAUCGGAAUGACUGGGCGUAAAGGGUGCGCAGGCGGUUGGUCAAGACGGAUGUGAAAGCCCCGGGCUUAACCUGGGAGUGUCAUUCGUGACUGACGAACUAGAAUAUGGCAGAGGGAGGCGGAAUUCCACAUGUAGCAGUGAAAUGCGUAGAGAUGUGGAGGAACACCGAUGGCGAAGGCAGCCUUCUGGGCUAAUAUUGACGCUCAGGCACGAAAGCGUGGGGAGCAAACAGGG